GCAGUGCCCACAGCCUGGAUCUGCCUCUGUCCCACAGCACCGGCCACCAUCCCCCACGGGAGGUGACUGCGUGCCCCGGCCUCACUGCCUCCACCAUCGUGCGACAACGCAAAAGGGUUGAAAGCCUUCUACGAUGCAAUAAAAUACGGGCCGAACCACUUGAUGGUGUUUGGAGGCGUCUGUCCAUCCGUCACGUCCAUCAUUGCAGAGUCCCUCCAAGGCUGGAAUCUGGUGCAGCUUUCUUUUGCUGCAACCACGCCUGUUCUAGCCGAUAAGAAAAAAUACCCUUAUUUCUUUCGGACCGUCCCAUCAGACAAUGCGGUGAAUCCAGCCAUUCUGAAGUUGCUCAAGCACUACCAGUGGAAGCGCGUGGGCACGCUGACGCAAGACGUUCAGAGGUUCUCUGAGGUGCGGAAUGACCUGACUGGAGUUCUGUAUGGCGAAGACAUUGAGAUUUCAGACACCGAGAGCUUCUCCAACGAUCCCUGUACCAGUGUCAAAAAGCUGAAGGGGAAUGAUGUGCGGAUCAUCCUUGGCCAGUUUGACCAGAAUAUGGCAGCAAAAGUGUUCUGUUGUGCAUACGAGGAGAACAUGUAUGGUAGUAAAUAUCAGUGGAUCAUCCCGGGCUGGUACGAGCCUUCUUGGUGGGAGCAGGUGCACACGGAAGCCAACUCAUCCCGCUGCCUCCGGAAGAAUCUGCUUGCUGCCAUGGAGGGCUACAUUGGUGUGGAUUUCGAGCCCCUGAGCUCCAAGCAGAUCAAGACCAUCUCAGGAAAGACUCCACAGCAAUAUGAGAGAGAGUACAACAACAAGCGGUCAGGCGUGGGGCCCAGCAAGUUCCACGGGUACGCCUACGAUGGCAUCUGGGUCAUCGCCAAGACACUGCAGAGGGCCAUGGAGACACUGCAUGCCAGCAGCCGGCACCAGCGGAUCCAGGACUUCAACUACACAGACCACACGCUGGGCAGGAUCAUCCUCAAUGCCAUGAACGAGACCAACUUCUUCGGGGUCACGGGUCAAGUUGUAUUCCGGAAUGGGGAGAGAAUGGGGACCAUUAAAUUUACUCAAUUUCAAGACAGCAGGGAGGUGAAGGUGGGAGAGUACAACGCUGUGGCCGACACACUGGAGAUCAUCAAUGACACCAUCAGAUUCCAAGGAUCCGAACCACCAAAAGACAAGACCAUCAUCCUGGAGCAGCUGCGGAAGAUCUCCCUACCUCUCUACAGCAUCCUCUCUGCCCUCACCAUCCUCGGGAUGAUCAUGGCCAGUGCUUUUCUCUUCUUCAACAUCAAGAACCGGAAUCAGAAGCUGAUAAAGAUGUCGAGUCCAUACAUGAACAACCUUAUCAUCCUUGGAGGGAUGCUCUCCUAUGCUUCCAUAUUUCUCUUUGGCCUUGAUGGAUCCUUUGUCUCUGAAAAGACCUUUGAAACACUUUGCACCGUCAGGACCUGGAUUCUCACCGUGGGCUACACGACCGCUUUUGGGGCCAUGUUUGCAAAGACCUGGAGAGUCCACGCCAUCUUCAAAAAUGUGAAAAUGAAGAAGAAGAUCAUCAAGGACCAGAAACUGCUUGUGAUCGUGGGGGGCAUGCUGCUGAUCGACCUGUGUAUCCUGAUCUGCUGGCAGGCUGUGGACCCCCUGCGAAGGACAGUGGAGAAGUACAGCAUGGAGCCGGACCCAGCAGGACGGGAUAUCUCCAUCCGCCCUCUCCUGGAGCACUGUGAGAACACCCAUAUGACCAUCUGGCUUGGCAUCGUCUAUGCCUACAAGGGACUUCUCAUGUUGUUCGGUUGUUUCUUAGCUUGGGAGACCCGCAACGUCAGCAUCCCCGCACUCAACGACAGCAAGUACAUCGGGAUGAGUGUCUACAACGUGGGGAUCAUGUGCAUCAUCGGGGCCGCUGUCUCCUUCCUGACCCGGGAUCAGCCCAAUGUGCAGUUCUGCAUCGUGGCUCUGGUCAUCAUCUUCUGCAGCACCAUCACCCUCUGCCUGGUAUUCGUGCCGAAGCUCAUCACCCUGAGAACAAACCCAGAUGCAGCAACGCAGAACAGGCGAUUCCAGUUCACUCAGAAUCAGAAGAAAGAAGAUUCUAAAACGUCCACCUCGGUCACCAGUGUGAACCAAGCCAGCACAUCCCGCCUGGAGGGCCUACAGUCAGAAAACCAUCGCCUGCGAAUGAAGAUCACAGAGCUGGAUAAAGACUUGGAAGAGGUCACCAUGCAGCUGCAGGACACACCAGAAAAGACCACCUACAUUAAACAGAACCACUACCAAGAGCUCAAUGACAUCCUCAACCUGGGAAACUUCACUGAGAGCACAGAUGGAGGAAAGGCCAUUUUAAAAAAUCACCUCGAUCAAAAUCCCCAGCUACAGUGGAACACAACAGAGCCCUCUCGAACAUGCAAAGAUCCUAUAGAAGAUAUAAACUCUCCAGAACACAUCCAGCGUCGGCUGUCCCUCCAGCUCCCCAUCCUCCACCACGCCUACCUCCCAUCCAUUGGAGGCGUGGACGCCAGCUGUGUCAGCCCCUGCGUCAGCCCC
rnacentral:sRNA from 1 species